UUAAAAAACCUACCAGGAACUGAUUUCUCCUUUGUUAUCAGAGCCCAUUUAAGAAAAUUCCCCUAAGGGAACCAGGUUUGCUAGAGCAAUUGUGGUGACAGCAACGCACCGACCUCAGAUGGCUACUGAGGUGCCCAUUCUGUCCCAGAACAACA